GUCGGCUACGGCGACAUGGUGCCCAAGACGUACGCCGGCAUGUUCGUGGGCGCCCUGUGCGCGCUCGCCGGCGUGCUCACCAUCGCGCUUCCCGUGCCCGUGAUCGUGUCCAAC
rfam:Ixodes scapularis strain Wikel colony gcontig_1108378429326, whole genome shotgun sequence.